UUGAGGCGAUGAAGGACGUAUUAACUUGCGAUAAGCCUAGUCAAGCUAGUAAAAAGCACUUGAGACUAGGAUUUCCGAAUGGGGAAACCCACCUGCUUGCAGGUAUCGUUAACUGAAUACAUAGGUUAACGAGGCGAACGCGGAGAACUGAAACAUCUAAGUACCCGGAGGAAAAGAAAUCAACCGAGAUUCCGUUAGUAGUGGCGAGCGAACGCGGAACAGCCCAGUUACUAAAUCAUUAACUGUCUUAGCAGAAUAAUCUGGAAAGUUUAAUCAUAGAGGGUGAUAGUCCCGUAUGUGAAAAGGCGAUUAAUGUGGGUGACGAAGAGUAAGUCGGGACACGUGUUAUCUUGACUGAAAAUGGGGGGCCCAUCCUCCAA
rnacentral:rRNA from 1 species